ACGAUGGCUGAGUGGGUUAGAUCACUGACUUUGUGUGCUGGCGAUUAGGUGCAUGACUCUGAGAGUGUGGGGUUGAAUCAUGGAUGGGACUCAUCCCAGAAAUAGUACUAGAAGUUU